rnacentral:rRNA from 1 species
AUGAACGCUAGCGGCAGGCUUAAUACAUGCAAGUUGAGGGGCAGCAUGAUAUACGCGAGUAUAUUGAUGGCGACCGGCGGACGGGUGAGUAAUAGGUAGGAGACCUACCUCAUACAGGGGGAUAGCAUAGAGAAAUCUGUGGUAAUACCCCAUGAGGUUAUAUGAAUAGAGGCAUAUAAUCAAAGCAUAAGCGAUUAUGCGGUAUGAGAGGGGCCUACUGACCAUUAGCUAGUUGGUGAGGUAAGGGCUCACCAAGGCGAAGAUGGUUAGGGGUUUUGAGAGAGAGACCCCCCACAUUGGAACUGAGAGACGGUCCAGACUCCUACGGGAGGCAGCAGUAGGGAAUAUUGGGCAAUGGGCGAAAGCCUGACCCAGCCAUGCCGCGUGCAGGACGAAGGCCUUCGGGUUGUAAACUGCUUUUGUACGGAACGAAAGGGCUCUCUCUAAUACAGGGGGCAUAUAACGGUACCGUAAGAAUAAGCACCGGCUAACUACGUG